GAUGAACGCUAGCGACAGGCUUAACACAUGCAAGUCGAGGGGCAGCACGGGAGUAGCAAUACAACUGGUGGCGACCGGCGCACGGGUGAGUAACGCGUAUGCAACCUACCUAUCAGAGGGGAAUAACCCGGCGAAAGUCGGACUAAUACCGCAUAAAACAGGGGCACCGCAUGGUGAUAUUUGUUAAAGAAAUUCGCUGAUAGAUGGGCAUGCGUUCCAUUAGGUAGUUGGUGAGGUAACGGCUCACCGAGCCGACGAUGGAUAGGGGAACUGAGAGGUUGGUCCCCCACACUGGUACUGAGACACGGACCAGACUCCUACGGGAGGCAGCAGUGAGGAAUAUUGGUCAAUGGGCGGGAGCCUGAACCAGCCAAGUCGCGUGAAGGAAGAAGGAUCUAUGGUUCGUAAACUUCUUUUGCAGGGGAAUAAAGUGCAGGACGUGUCCUGUUUUGUAUGUACCCUGAGAAUAAGGAUCGGCUAACUCCGUGCCAGCCGCCGCGGUAACAC
rnacentral:rRNA from 1 species